rnacentral:misc_RNA from 1 species
UCGAAGCCUAGAAAGCGCGACCGCGAACGAGUUUCCAAUCCGGGGGGCAGCUUCGGGGAGCUCUCGGGCGCCUCGUCGCUACCCCCCGUUCGGGAGGGCAGCCUCUCGAAACUAACGAACCCCGGCGCGGAAAGCGCCAAGGAAUCAUAACGAAGGAACUCGUCCCUCUGGCCCGUCCUCGGGUCCGAGGGGCGGAGUCUGUUCAAAAGAAUCAUAACGACUCUCGGCAACGGAUAUCUCGGCUCUCGCAUCGAUGAAGAACGUAGCAAAAUGCGAUACUUGGUGUGAAUUGCAGAAUCCCGUGAAUCAUCGAGUCUUUGAACGCAAGUUGCGCCCGAAGCCUUUAGGCCGAGGGCACGUCUGCCUGGGCGUCAUGCACUGCGAUGCCCCCCCACCCAAGCGGGCGCGAAGCGUGGCCUCCCGUGAGCCCAUCUCGCGGAUGGCUUAAAUUCGAGCCUCGGGACGGCGAGACGUCGCGACAAGUGGUGGUUUAAGGGGCCUUUCGGCCUCCUGGCAUUUGCGCAUCGCGGCCUCGCCCCUCCAUCGGUUCCAAGUAAAAUACCCAAGGAGCGCACUCGCGCUGCCAGCAUC